rnacentral:rRNA from 1 species
AACGCCCGACGGGGUCGGCAUUCCGACCCAGGAAGGGGAAAAAGGGAGCAAAUCCGUCUUUGAGAUGGCCUCGCGUCCGAUUAGCUAGUUGGUGAGGUAAUGGCCCACCAAGGCGACGAUCGGUAGCCGGACUGAGAGGUUGAACGGCCACAUUGGGACUGAGACACGGCCCAGACUCCUACGGGAGGCAGCAGGUGGGGAAUAUUGCACAAUGGGGGAAACCCUGAUGCAGCGACGCCGCGUGGAGGAAGAAGGUCUUCGGAUUGUAAACUCCUGUUGUUGAGGAAGAUAAUGACGGUACUCAACAAGGAAGUGACGGCUAACUACGUG